GCCUGGGUAGCUCAGUCGGUUGAGCGUCCGACUUCGGCUCAGGUCAUGAUCUCGCAGUUUGUGGGUUCGAGCCCCACAUUGGGCU
rnacentral:tRNA from 1 species